rnacentral:rRNA from 1 species
GGUAAUGUCUGGGAAACUGCCUGAUGGAGGGGGAUAACUACUGGAAACGGUAGCUAAUACCGCAUAACGUCGCAAGACCAAGAGGGGGACCUUCGGGCCUCUUGCCAUCGGAUGUGCCCAGAUGGGAUUAGCUAGUAGGUGGGGUAACGGCUCACCUAGGCGACGAUCCCUAGCUGGUCUGAGAGGAUGACCAGCCACACUGGAACUGAGACACGGUCCAG